AGAGUUUGAUCCUGGCUCAGGAUGAACGCUAGCUACAGGCUUAACACAUGCAAGUCGAGGGGCAUCAGGAAGAAAGCUUGCUUUCUUUGCUGGCGACCGGCGCACGGGUGAGUAACACGUAUCCAACCUGCCCUUUACUCGGGGAUAGCCUUUCGAAAGAAAGAUUAAUACCCGAUAGCAUAAUGAUUCCGCAUGGUUUCAUUAUUAAAGGAUUCCGGUAAAGGAUGGGGAUGCGUUCCAUUAGGUUGUUGGUGAGGUAACGGCUCACCAAGCCUUCGAUGGAUAGGGGUUCUGAGAGGAAGGUCCCCCACAUUGGAACUGAGACACGGUCCAAACUCCUACGGGAGGCAGCAGUGAGGAAUAUUGGUCAAUGGGCGCUAGCCUGAACCAGCCAAGUAGCGUGAAGGAUGAAGGCUCUAUGGGUCGUAAACUUCUUUUAUAUGGGAAUAAAGUUUUCCACGUGUGGAAUUUUGUAUGUACCAUAUGAAUAAGGAUCGGCUAACUCCGUGCCAGCAGCCGCGGUAAUACGGAGGAUCCGAGCGUUAUCCGGAUUUAUUGGGUUUAAAGGGAGCGUAGGUGGACAGUUAAGUCAGUUGUGAAAGUUUGCGGCUCAACCGUAAAAUUGCAGUUGAUACUGGCAGUCUUGAGUACAGUAGAGGUGGGCGGAAUUCGUGGUGUAGCGGUGAAAUGCUUAGAUAUCACGAAGAACUCCGAUUGCGAAGGCAGCUCACUGGACUGCAACUGACACUGAUGCUCGAAAGUGUGGGUAUCAAACAGGAUUAGAUACCCUGGUAGUCCACACAGUAAACGAUGAAUACUCGCUGUUUGCGAUAUACAGUAAGCGGCCAAGCGAAAGCAUUAAGUAUUCCACCUGGGGAGUACGCCGGCAACGGUGAAACUCAAAGGAAUUGACGGGGGCCCGCACAAGCGGAGGAACAUGUGGUUUAA
rnacentral:rRNA from 1 species